rnacentral:rRNA from 1 species
UACGGAGGGUGCAAGCGUUAUCCGGAUUCACUGGGUUUAAAGGGUGCGUAGGUGGGCAGGUAAGUCAGUGGUGAAAUCUCCGGGCUUAACCCGGAAACUGCCAUUGAUACUAUUUGUCUUGAAUACUGUGGAGGUCAGCGGAAUAUGUCAUGUAGCGGUGAAAUGCUUAGAUAUCCGGAGGAACACCGGUGGCGAAGGCGGCUUCCUGGACCGACACUGACGCUGAGGCGCGAAAGCUAGGGGAGCAAACGGG